rnacentral:rRNA from 1 species
ACGAACGCUGGCGGCGUGCCUAACACAUGCAAGUCGAACGGAGAUGUUUUGAAAGCUUGCUGAUAAGCAUCUUAGUGGCGCACGGGUGAGUAACACGUGGGCAACCUGCCCGGAAGUCUGGGAUAACAGUGCGAAAGUACUGCUAAUACCGGAUACCUUCACGAAGCUGCCUAGCUUUGUGAAGAAAGAUUAAUCGCUUCCGGAUGGGCCCGCGUCCCAUUAGCUAGUUGGUGAGGUAACGGCUCACCGAGGCGACGAUGGGUAGCUG